AGAACAUCAAAAGAACAAAAAAACGAGGCCAUUGUCUCCCAUGCGCCUGGCAAGCAUAUCUCUACUACUAAUGGAGCAGUUGGUAGUCUCCGUUCCGAGUUUUUUUCGUCUCACCUCCCACCUUCAUCUGGUUUUAUUUCGUCUGGCUUAUUUUCGUCUCACCUCCCACCACCAUCUUCUCACAAUGGUUUUUUCACCCUCCCAAUAAAAACUUUCCUAACCUUUUUAAACUUUCUUAACCAGACACGUUACAAACAUGCAGGGACUGAUUCUUUUCCGAUCCACCUCGAUCUCCUUCCCGAUCCAUUCUGGAUUCUGGUUUUGCUUUGCAAACCCAACCCCCACCCGAUCUGCAGUGAUUCUCUCUUCGUCUGUCACGUGAUCCCUUCGUCUGUCCCUCCUUUGCGCGACUCUUUCUUUUCUUCUCUUCUCUUGCAUUGGAAUCUCGAUCCACAAAAAGGCGGCGGCAUGGCGAGGAGGUAUGAAGGACGGCGACAUCCAUACUUGCCUCCUCGACGCUGGACUCUAGUGUGAGCAGCAGCACGGUACCUCCAGGCGAGGGAAGCUCGUCCCCACAGGUCUCCUCCUCCACACGACACGUUAGUCCGCCUCCUCCUCCUCCAGAAGCAGACUUCGCCGUCGGCCCGCCUCCAUUCAUCACUAAUGAUCUGGAGAGAGAAUGAGCGAGAGCAGAGAGGAGCGUUGUGAGUCAUGGGGAUCCCUGCAUCUGUGGUGGUCGUCGAGACAAGGAAGAGUAGUCGGACGUGAAACAGAUGAGAGGGACAUCACGCCUUGGCUCGUCUUCCUCUACUCCUUGUGCGGCUCUCCACACGAUUCCGCAUCUGCAAGGUUGGUGAGUACAGCUUCAGCCUCGUUGCCAUGGACGACGAGGUCUGCCUCGUCGCCAUGGACGGCAAGGUCUGCCUCGUCGGGGCGACCACACGCCGGUACACACAUAUACAUACCAAGAUCGUUAUUGAUCUAUCCAUACAAUUUUAUAUCCUGUUGAUGCUGAUCAACACAUUUACAAAUCUUCAGAGUUGUGCUUUGAAAGUGAGGAACAUGUAAAGAAGCUUCUCAAUCAAAUCUGGAGAUGAUUUCUUGGGCAUAAUUCCUAAUGCAUAUACAAUAUGGAUUUGCUGUCAGGAGUUGUAAAGGAGCUUUACAAUCAAACCUCGAGAUGAUUUGUUAGGCAUAAUUCCUAAUGCAUAUAAAAUAUGGUAUGACCUCCUCAUGGAUUUGUUGUCAGGAGUUAAUGUAUUUUUUCUGGACAGAAGCAUGGGCCCACAACUUACUUGAAGUAAAAUUUAAAUUUAGCUUGGACACCUAUAUUCUGAUUCUUUAUGAGUUGUAGGGUCAUUUUAAUUUUGUAGGACGAAAUAUCAAAAGAAUGCCUCUCAUCACCGUACCCAUGCACAGGAGGACCGUUGCUGACGUCUAACCGUUUUCCUAUCCCCUCCUCUCUUUGUUUUGUUAAAUCCAUGACGCGUGAGUUUUAAUAUUCACAUGUCACACUCCAAUCUAGCUCAAUGUAAUUAGUAUUGCCCUUCAUGUCACUUUGCCCAUGUUUGUUUAUAUAUGCAUGCCCCUGUUGCUGUCAAGAGUUGAUAUUUAUUAAUCUUCAUUCAUGAGCUUAUUUGGUGGAAUUUACACUUGAACAGAAUUUCAUAUUGUCAAGGAAAGAAUAAUUUGGCUUUUGGAGGCAAUUUCAUAUCUGGAUUAGUGCAUAAGUUAUUCAUGUUCUUGAGUUCUUUGAAUAAAAAAUCACAAGAUAUAGUACUAAUUAUUUCAAGUUUUAUUCUUGUCUUACUGGAAUUCUAAACAUGCUAAGGUUGUUAGCUCAUCGUGUGGUGGAUUUGUUUUUUGGGAAUCUUCUCACAUACUAUGUUUGAGUGCUUUUGUUCUUUUGUUCUCGAGUUCUUCUGGUGGGGGAAUCAGAAGUUCAAUGUGAUAGAUCUCAAUCAAUCCAGCCUCCGGUAAAAGAAAGCAAGUAGUACAUAUCUACCCAUACAAGUUGAAUAUCAAUGACCCAGACAACGGUGUACCAAUCUGUUGGAGCCUCUUUGGUGUCCAGAAUUUUGGUGACCUCGGCGGUUCACCCAUUUUUUUGUUAUCCCUACUUUGUAUAAUUUUGUCUUGGUGUAGUUUCGGCACCAGUUCGUGUCAAAGGCGAUUUUAAUCAGGUGGAGAGUAAUGGAGAAGGAUGCAUGCAUUCAAAUUUACUGUGUGAUACAUGUUCUGUAUAUGCAGAAGAUAUGCCCUGAGUGCAGUGCUUUGCAUGCUAUUCUCUUUGAAUUUUUUUUCCUCAGGUGAAUCCAUAUUGUACCUCUACCUGGGCUGCAAUUUUGGUGCUACCGUUUGCAUGCAACAACACCAAUAACCUAGGUUACUAGUCCAGCGUACAUGCGAACAAGCAGGCAACAACGCCAAGAACCUGGGUUAUACUCCAGCCUACAUGCAAGCAAGUAGGCAUGGCUCCGACGCGCGGCCUGAUUAGUGUUAACCACAUGUAUGAUCCAUAAUUGAUAUACAUAUAUACUUGUCAAUCAUAUGUGUAUCGGCAGUAUAUGGACAGCUUCUUAAUUGGUCAACCAAUUCCUGUACUUUUACAAAUGCAAAUAAAUUUGCCAGUGAGUUA